CCCCCCCUCUCUCUCUCUCUCUCUCUCUCUCUCUCUCUCUCUCUCUCUCUCUCUCUCUCUCUCUCUCUCUCUCUCUCUCUCUCUCUCUCUCUCUCUCUCUCUCUCUCUCUCUCUCUCUCUUUCUCUCUCUUUCUCUCUCUUUCUCUCUCUUUCUCUCUCUCUCUUUCUCUCUCUUUCUCUCUCUCUCUUUCUCUCUCUCUCUCUCUCUCUCUUUCUCUCUCUUUCUCUUCUCUCUCCAACAUCUCUCGCGUUAACGAACAUUAUUUCAUUUCUCACUUAUAUAUAUAUAUAUAUAUUUAUUGGUCUUCACACGCUCCCUCCCCAAGUGGAACAAUGCAACGGCUCAUUUCUGAUGGCGACAUCAUACCUGUCUUGGCAACUUUUUUGUUUCCUCUUCCAUAUAUAUUAUUUUUUCUGCACACUCCACUCGACUGCUUUCGAGAGAAAGUCACAACCAGGAUUUAUUUUUUAAUGUACUUUAAUAAUUUUUUUUAUCUGAUUCGUUUUUGUACUUUCUGUGUGUUUUUGCGCGUAGAAAAACAGCUUGAGAUUCUGCAACGAUGCGUAUUCAGGUGGAUUGCUUAAAAAUAUAUCUUAUUUUAUUUGUGCGCGGUGUUUUUGCCUGUGCUCAAGUGGAAGUACAAGCGUGCGUCUUCGUGAGUGUGAUCGUGUGCCAGUAAUUACCAAAGUGUGUGUCAGGGUGUGUGAGAGCGGUGCGUCGCAUUUAAACAGAUUGCGCACAUUCGUAAGGGUCCAUUUAUGCUUUAAAACAAAAUAGCCCCUUUUAUUUUUUUCUGCAAUUUUAUUUUCAAUUGUUAUAUAUCUGCCUGUUAGUUUGGAAAUGCUAUGCUACGUAUUGUUAGAUUUAUUCUUAUUUUAUUUGUUAAAUUGUCUUGAUUAUUGCACAUGCAUGAUUAUUAUCAUUCCGUUCAUUUUUAAAUAAUUUAUUGUUUGUCAGAUUGGCCACACAACUAAUUUGGCAAUGAGAAAUAGUAUAUGCAUCUUAAUAUACUUUAUUAAAAAAUAUUGUGCAUUCAUCAGAUUUACUUAAAUAUUUUUUUCGGAGGUUGGACUGUAUUAUCUUUAAUAUAAUAUGGACAUAUAUUAUGAUUCAAAGCAGUGUAUUUUCUCCGCUUGUGUGGAUUGCCUCUGCCGUCUAGUUCAAGUCCCCGUUAAGCCGAAAGGGAUCGCUGUAGGCGCUCUAAAGAGUGUGUGCGCGCGACUGGUAAUCACGUGGUGAAAAAAAAAUCUACAGCGCAAAUAAAGGGGGGAAAGAGUGAUGACGCAGGAACAGGGAGGAAUGGAGGCAGCCUUUUCAAAAAGAAGGAAAAAGCGGAGAGAGGAGCAGGGGAGGGCUAAACAAAAGCGAGUGGAGCGCCUAAUGAUCAGAUGACAGCGCGGCACAGCAGCAUGAUGCUGACACCAAUACAAGACUCAUCGGAAUAGGACCUUUUAUUUAUUUAGUUUUGUUGCAUAAAUGCUAAUUGCAUUAAUCAUACAGUGGGGAGACAUUGUGACAACUGCACACACACAGAUGUAUGGCGUUCAUCAGAUGGCGCCGCCCUCCCUCAUGGGGCUGAAUGGCAGACUGCUGGAUGCACUAAGUGAUGAAAUGAUGACCCCAUUAUGAGAAGCGGCUCCAAAAUUAGGGGGUAUCGGCCAAAGAUUGCAGACCGCCGCCAUCCUCCUCCUCCUCCUCUUGCUCGCCCUGCUGCACACACGAUGAUUGAUUCGCUUGAGAUGGAUCACAGGAAGCAGCUAUUGAUUUUUCUUCUCCCUGCCUAUAGUGUUUUAUGAAGAAAAUACUUAUUUACACUUGGGUGUUAUCCAGACUUACUCAAUAUCCACUUUUUAGGGGAAGGAUAAAGGAUCUAAUUGUCCUUGCUCGGUGACGUGACAAAUGACCUGUAAUAUUAUUUCGGUAGGGAGUCAAUAGGUGGGCUGACUAAAUGAAUAUUGAUUGGUUAUAAUGAAGCCCAAGUGUGAAUGGGAGCGCCUUCCCGGGAUCUUGCAGUCAGCAUUCAUAUGUGAUGAUGCCAGACGUACAUGACAGAGACAAAAUACAGUUAAAAAAGGGACGUUUUGCAAAAUAAUUAUUUUGUAAUUGUGAAAAUAGAAUAAUCAUAUUGUACCCAUCAUAAAAGCUUUGCUAACUGUAAAAUCAAUAUUUUACCAUGUAUAUGAUACGUGUAAAAAUAAAGCUACACUAAAACCAAACCAAAAUAUGGCACCACAUAGCAGCAGUACCCUAAAAAGGUUUUUUUUGUUUUAUAAUAAAUUCAGAAGUAGGUUAAUGGUAUUGUUGCCAGCAAGUCAAUAAUCUGAAUCGUGAUUUUUCCCAUUCUUAACUGUCAUACAAAUGAAAAAAACAAGUUAACCAUCGUUGAGCAAGACUAAAGUGCCAACUAAAAUGAUGUGAUUCAGUCAUGAUGGAAAUGUAGUUUCCACAAAAUUGUCAGUAAGACAUUUCUGAAGGUGAGCCAGCAUUCUGCACUGUAUAUUUAACUUUCUUAACUUGCAUACAAAUGUAAAAAAAAAAAGUUAAAACCUGUGUUGUGAAACAUGUGUGUGAAUGUGUCCAUGGAUGUGAAUGUGAAUUGUUGUUCGAGAUGCUAACAACCACCGCACUGCAAUCAUUUGCACCAACUGGAAUCGGAAAAAAGGAGAGUAACUGUACGUGAGGCAUAAUGAAAUUUGACGAGGUUGGUGAUAGAUCACAGCCCAGGUAAUGUAAACACAUUAAUCCCUCGGGGUUCACCCACUCUUCCUCUCUCUUUAGCCCUCCCCACCCCAGACCCCUGAUCUCUACUCCAUGCUCAUCAUCUUCCCUAAAUGUGUUAUUGGAGCACAAAACCAGAAGCAGCCUUAAUCUGUCAACAUGGCCUUUAAUUGGACCACCGGAAGAAAAAAAAAAGAAGAAAAUCGGUGCCACUCCUAAGUGCACACAUGCCAUACGAAGGAAGUUCAUCUGGUGAGAGCUCGGGAGGCAUAAUUAAAAGUAGCUUUUAAUAGGCUUGUAAUGCAGAGCUGACUUUAAGUAGAGGCCAGACAUGUGAGGGGGCUUGUAAACGAUAUGCCACCGCCAUCUGACAUCAUGCCACCCCCCACCACCACUACGGUCACCAAAAACAACGCUGGGAAAAACCUUCACACAUUCCAUUUUUGUCAUUUAAACAGGCCACUGACACCUUCAAGAGUAUUUCUAAUUUUGUUCUUUUGUCUGUUGUGUUCAAGGUAGAACUCUGACAUCACCCCGCCACCAUUUCUCCUAUCUUGGAUAUGGCGAGAUGUCGUCACUGGGACCCAAUUGAACGUUUUCAAAUUAGAUCUUCAUCAUUAUGAUUUUUUUCAAGUUGCAUUUUACAUUUAAUUUAGCUGUCACAAAUAAAAAUCAUUUUUUAAAUUUAA